GCACAGGAUCCUAGGUGAGAAGCCUAAGGCAUAAUUGUAAUGUGAGCAAGGGAAAUCGGCAAAAUGGAUGAAAAACCUCGGGAUAAUCAUUGGCUCUAGCAUGCUAGAACUGGGCUUACAAGGGGAAUCUGACUGUUUAAUAAAAACAUAGCUUUGUGUGUACGCAAAGUGAAUUCUGCCCAGUGCUUGGGACGUUAAGGAAGUAAUUUUAAGUACGCACCUGUAAACGGCGGGAGUAACUAUGACUCUCUUAAGGUAGCCAAAUGCCUCGUCGCCUAAUUAGCGACGCGCAUGAAUGGAGCAACGAGAUUCCCACUGUCCCUGCUCACAGAUUUGCGAACCUACAGCCAAGGGAACGGGCUUGGGACAUGCAGCGGGGAAAGAAGACCCUGUUGAGCUUGACUCUAGCCAAGCACAGGCCUCUGUGACUAUAUCGUAGCGAGGUGGGAGAAAUGUGUGAGACCACUGACAUAGUCGGCGGGGGCACUCGCAAAGCUUGGUGGGGAGUUUGGCUGGGGCGGCACGACUACUAAAACAUAACGUAGACGUCCAAAGGUAAGCUCCGAGGGGAUGGAAACCACUCCGAGAGUAUAAGGGCAAAAGCUUGCUUUAGUUAUUAAUGUAAAUUAAUAAUACUGGAAACAGGGGCCUAGAGAUCCUCUAUGAAACUAAGCAUAGAGGUGACGGAAAAGUUACCACAGGGAUAACUGGCUUGUGGCGGCCGAGCGUCCAUAGCGACGCCGCUUUUUGAUUCUUCGAUGUCGGCUCUUCCGAGCAUGGUGGAGUAUCAGCCACCAAGUGUGUGAUUGUUCACCAACUAACAGGGAACGUGAGCUGGGUUUAGACCGUCGCGAGACAGGUUAGUUUUACCCUACUGCAUCGCGUCCGAGAGUAGGUCGGGGCAGUACGAGAGGAAGUGCCGAUCAGACCGCUGGUGAUACUUUCGUCUGUUAGGCGCGAAUGUAGCUACGUUCUUCUAUAUAACUGAAGGCUCUAGCUAGAUGAGUACUUAGGACGCAAGAUAUGAGAUACUAUGUAAGAUGAGGGUUGACAAAAAAGCUUUCGCAGUAUUCAACCACUUUUUCUUUUUAAACUGCUGCCCGAAACUAGGAAUUGGGGAAGGAAAUUAUUUUUAUUGCGGUCGGGUUUCCCGGGUUGCCCAGCGGGGGAAGCCUAUGCGAAAACGGAAACCCCU
rfam:Enterocytozoon bieneusi H348 ctg01_728, whole genome shotgun sequence.